UACGGAGGGGGCUAGCGUUGUUCGGAAUUACUGGGCGUAAAGCGCACGUAGGCGGCUUUGUAAGCUAGAGGUGAAAGCCCAGGGCUCAACCCUGGAAUUGCCUUUAAGACUGCAUCGCUAGAAUUGUGGAGAGGUAAGUGGAAUUCCGAGUGUAGAGGUGAAAUUCGUAGAUAUUCGGAAGAACACCAGUGGCGAAGGCGACUUACUGGACACAUAUUGACGCUGAGGUGCGAAAGCGUGGGGAGCAAACAGG
rnacentral:rRNA from 1 species